rnacentral:sRNA from 1 species
UCUUGGUCAAUUAGAGGAAGUAAAAGUCGUAACAAGGUCUCCGUUGGUGAACCAGCGGAGGGAUCAUUACUGAGUACUACACUCUCUACCCUUUGUGAACUAUUAUACCUGUUGCUUCGGCGGCGCCCGCAAGGGUGCCCGCCGGUCUCAUCAGAAUCUCUGUUUUCGAACCCGACGAUACUUCUGAGUGUUCUUAGCGAACUGUCAAAACUUUUAACAACGGAUCUCUUGGCUCCAGCAUCGAUGAAGAACGCAGCGAAACGCGAUAUGUAAUGUGAAUUGCAGAAUUCAGUGAAUCAUCGAAUCUUUGAACGCACAUGGCGCCUUCCAGUAUCCUGGGAGGCAUGCCUGUCCGAGCGUCGUUUCAACCCUCGAGCCCCUGUGGCCCGGCGUUGGGGAUCUGCCACGGCAGGCCCCUAAAACCAGUGGCGGACCCGAAGGGCCCUCUCCUUUGCGCAGUAGCAUUCGCCUCGCAUUGGGAGUCCUCGGCGUCCUGCCUCUAAACCCCCCACAAGUCCGCUUCGGCGGCACCAAGGUUGACCUCGGAUCA